GGCCUGUUGAUUAUAAUUUCAGGUCUGACCUGCCCAAUGAGUAGUUAAAUGGCUGCGGUAUACUGACCGUGCAAAGGUAGCAUAAUCAUUAGUUUUUUAAUUGAAAGCUUGUAUGAAAGGUUUGAUGAAAAAUUUUCUGUCUCUGGAAAGAUUAAUUAGAAUUUUAUUUUUAAGUAAGAAAGCUUAAAUGUGUGUAGAAGACGAGAAGACCCUAUAGAGUUUUAUAUUUUUAUAAAGAUUUUAGGUUUGUGGAGUUAAAAAUCUUAUAUUUUUAGCAAAGUAUUUUGUUGGGGUGAUAGGAAAACUAGAUUAACUUUUCUUGAUUUUAUACAUUAUUUUGUGGGUGGAUGAUCCUUAGGUUUAGAUUGUAAGAUGAAAUUACCUUAGGGAUAACAGCGUAAUUUUUUAGAGAGUUCUUAUCGAAAAAAAAGUUUGCGACCUCGAUGUUGGAUUAAAAUAAAUUAUUGGUGAAGGAGCUAAUAAAUUAGGUCUGUUCGACCUUUAAAAUUUYACAUGAUCUGAGUUUAAACCGGUGUGAG
rnacentral:rRNA from 1 species